GUGGAUUAGAUACCCUGGUCGUCCACGCCGUAAACGAUGGAUACUAGCUGUUCGGUAGCAAUACUGAGUGGCUAAGCGAAAGUGAUAAGUAUCCCACCUGGGGAGUACGAACGCAAGUUUGAAACUCAAAGGAAUUGACGGGGGCCCGCACAAGCGGUGGAGCAUGUGGUUUAAUUCGAUGAUACGCGAGGAACCUUACCAAGGCUUAAAUGUAGAUUGACAGGACUGGAAACAGUUUUUUCUUCGGACAAUUUACAAGGUGCUGCACGGUCGUCGCCAGCU
rnacentral:rRNA from 1 species